UACAUGCAAGUCGAGCGGACAGAAGGGAGCUUGCUCCCGGAUGUUAGCGGCGGACGGGUGAGUAACACGUGGGUAACCUGCCUGUAAGACUGGGAUAACUCCGGGAAACCGGAGCUAAUACCGGAUAGUUCCUUGAACCGCAUGGUUCAAGGAUGAAAGACGGUUUCGGCUGUCACUUACAGAUGGACCCGCGGCGCAUUAGCUAGUUGGUGAGGUAACGGCUCACCAAGGCGACGAUGCGUAGCCGACCUGAGAGGGUGAUCGGCCACACUGGGACUGAGACACGGCCCAGACUCCUACGGGAGGCAGCAGUAGGGAAUCUUCCGCAAUGGACGAAAGUCUGACGGAGCAACGCCGCGUGAGUGAUGAAGGUUUUCGGAUCGUAAAGCUCUGUUGUUAGGGAAGAACAAGUGCAAGAGUAACUGCUUGCACCUUGACGGUACCUAACCAGAAAGCCACGGCUAACUACGUGCCAGCAGCCGCGGUAAUACGUAGGUGGCAAGCGUUGUCCGGAAUUAUUGGGCGUAAAGGGCUCGCAGGCGGUUUCUUAAG
rnacentral:rRNA from 1 species